rnacentral:rRNA from 1 species
GGGUGGGGGGCAACUCCCAUUCAGUGGCGAACGGGUGAGUAAUGCAUCGGAACGUAUCCCGUAGUGGGGGACAACGCCGCGAAAGCGGCGCUAAUACCGCAUAUGCUCUACGGAGGAAAGUGGGGGACCGCAAGGCCUCACGCUAUGGGAGCGGCCGAUGUCCGAUUAGCUAGUUGGUGGGGUAAUGGCCCACCAAGGCGACGAUCGGUAGCUGGUCUGAGAGGAUGAUCAGCCACACUGGGACUGAGACACGGCCCAGACUCCUACGGGAGGCAGCAGUGGGGAAUUUUGGACAAUGGGGGCAACCCUGAUCCAGCCAUGCCGCGUGCGGGAAGAAGGCCUUCGGGUUGUAAACCGCUUUUAGUCGGGAAGAAAAGGCCAGGUCUAAUACACCUGGUUCUUGACGGUACCGGCGGAAUAAGCACCGGCUAACUACGUGCCAGCAGCCGCGGUAAUACGUAGGGUGCGAGCGUUAAUCGGAAUUACUGGGCGUAAAGCGUGCGCAGGCGGUUCGUUAAGUCUGAUGUGAAAGCCCCGGGCUCAACCUGGGAAUGGCAUUGGAAACUGGCGAGCUGGAGUGCGGCAGAGGGGGGGGUGGAAUUCCGCGUGUAGCAGUGAAA